GGGGUAGCACCUUUGGUGAGGGAACAUGUCGCGUCCUUUUCAGGGCGGUUAGUCCACCUUUGGUCCCCACCUGGCACUCAGCUCUCACCUGUGGCUCCCCGUAGCUGUUUGCAUGCGACAGCAGCCACACCCCGGGCAACGGCUUCGACAAGCCGGCUAAACCAGGUGAGGGUAGCCGACGGGUCUCAAACCCUCGGUGAGAUAGGGAGUUGUCUAUCCCAGCAUGUGAAGACAGACUCCGGCGGAUUGAGCGGACGAGACCAAUGGAAGGUCCAACGGUCAAGAAGGCGGUCUCUGCAAGCGUCAUAGAACGUGUAGAGCAGGACAAGACACAGAAGAUGUCCUGGUCAUCCACUGCGCCUAGUCCCAUCUCCAGCUGUCUAGACUCUGUCUUGCCACUGGAUCCAGAUGGGAAUUGGGAAGAGAGAGUGAGGCUGACGCUGCGCAACUCUCCCUCACUUAAAUCCAAAUCACGCGCUAGUCUUGACACCAUCAUAAUGGUGUCGAGGUCCUCAUCGACGUCAAUGAUGGACGAACAACACAGACAUGGAGUGGUGAUCUGAAGGCUUUAGUUCUUCGAGGCUUUGGUGAAGAGUGGCUUCACUCAGAGAAGGCAAAGGAAAGAAAAGGAAUCACUGACUUUGCUGAUUCUACCAACGCAUCCUUUAAGACACACCAUCACGGAUGUGGAGUGCCCCAUGGACAGGUGGAAAUUCAGAAGAGGACUACGAGAAAUACAUGCUCCGCAGAGACUCUUUUUUUUACUGGAAUUACAUUUUCUAUUCUUUGACUGUUCGUGGAGGCUCAGGAAAACUUAGCAGGUGUGCACACGGAAACUUGGUUGUGUAAAUUCACGAGUUCUUCUGUUGAG